CUGUUCGAAAACUGAUGGCUGAACAUAUUCCUUAUGUGCAUCGUGAAACCAUUCGAGCUCGGACGGAACCAAUGAUAGGUUCUAAACGAAGAGUGGCCAUUCUAUUCAUCGAUAGCUGACUCAAUCUGUCUGAUUAUUUGCUCUAGACUCUUGGCUUUUCGGUACAAAACAUAGCUGGCACAAAGGAGACUUUCCAAAAAAGAAACGGUGCAUCAACAACUUCCUUGACACCAAAGGGAUGACGAUGGAUGAAGGGUCCAGUACAGCUGAUCUGUGGCAAUUGUGAGAUACUUUGAAGGAAAACCCUUGAUCACCAUUUCUGCAAAAAUGAGGACUCCGCAGAUGCUGAACUCAGCCUCCCCUGUACCCCAAUGCAUCCUAAUCAGAGGUGACCAUCUAUCCAGAUUGCUGUUGAUCAGGAAGUUGGUGAAUGACCACAUCACCUUCCCCAUUGUGGCCCUGAGCUAUGCUUUUCUGCUUGUUUUAUGUCUGCAACAAUUGAAUAUCCAAAGGAGAUGUCUCUUACCCUGAAUUCAUGCAAAGAGUUUUCUUAGGAAUGAUUCCUGACCGAGGGUCCAAGGCUGAGAUGAAGGGGAAGAAACAGCACCACAUUCCUCCAAAACUGUCGAAGCUCGUGACUGAGCUGAAGGAAUUUGACUGGCACAUGUGAGCUUUCCUCCAAGCUCAAAA